rnacentral:misc_RNA from 1 species
AAGUCGUAACAAGGUUUCCGUAGGUGAACCUGCGGAAGGAUCAUUAUUACGUUAUCCAACGUCAAACCCAAUUGUGAAAUGUUAAAAUCCGGGGAUGAAAUGAGAAUAUUUGCGACAAAAGGGUUCAUGUCUUUAAUGGUUGGCUUUUGUCGGUCCUAACAGACUUUCGGGUUUGUUAGCUCAUUUCAUUUCUGUUAACAAUCAAAUUCCCGUCAUGAACAAUUUGUUAUUUUAAAUUUUAACCCCAUGUACAAAACAUUGAACUAAACCUUUGUUCUGAUUAAAUCCUUAAUCAGAUCAGAAAUCUGAAAUUAAGAAACAACUCUUAACAACGGAUAUCUUGGUUCUG